CCCAGUGCAACUUUAUGUAAACAUUCAAUGAAAAAUAAACAUUCAAUUUCUAGUCUUUUUUACACGUAGUAAGUUUCAAUAACUCCAUACCAUUACAUAUCGACAUUCAAGGAGCAAAGAUGAGACGUCGUUGUGUGGUGAGAACUGAUAGAAAAUCGCAAACAACAACAAUCGCCGGUGGGGAGAAGCCAUUUUUCCAUUGACUGGAAGCCUGCUUUAUUUAUUGUAGGUUACAAAAAAUAAAGAAAAUGGCGGCAUUGUUGUUGUUGUCUCAUCUUUGCUGCUUGAAUGUCGGUAUGUAAUGGUAUGGAGUUAUUGAAACUUACUACGUGUAAAAAAGACUAGAAAUUGAAUGUUUAUUUUUAAGCCUCGAAAGUUGCACUGGGUGCCUUUAACCUUCUCAUUUUAGGAUUGGGCAUAAAAUGUGUUACGUGUGUUGAGUGUGCUUUGGUGAAACACAAGAAGUUUGUACAAUUCUAAAUGUAUGAACAGACCUCCGUCCUCCACAUCGCUCACCUCAGGCCAGGCAGGGGGCUACUCAAUGGGCUGUAAAAUGCAACAGGGUACUGGGAAAGAGCUGUGUGGUUGCGGGAUGAUCCAUGCGCUGCGUGGAUCAGCUCAUGCAUGAGGGGCAGAGAUUGGCUGCAUGCUGUCCACUGUGAGUUCCUCUGGAGCAAGUGCACUGCUGUGUCACAGGAAAAGGUGUAAUGUGUCUGUAUGAUUACAGUAUUCAUGUCUCAAUGAUUACUGUGCUAUGUGUCUGUAUGUUCACUGCAUGUUGCAGAGCUUGCUGGAUUGGCAAAAAACGGAAGGGAAUCACAGAGGUUGUUGAAUGGUGCAUGUUGACUCCAGAGGACAAGGUGGGUGCCGUGGUCCAGUUGUACCGAAGUGGCCUUCAGUUUGGCGGGUGGCCAGCGGACCCCGUGGGAUCAUCUUGGUUGGCUGCUUUGAAUGAGACCUCUCUCUGUCUCCCCUCCCUUUCUCUUCACACACACACACACACACACGCACAAGCAAAUGCAGGUAAAUUUGAGAAGUGUCCUUAACCGCGGAUUUGAAAGCUUAAUAAACUAUUCAAAAAGCCCUGGGGGUGGGGGAAAGCACAGGGAACUAUCCAUAAUUGUUUAAUUGUAUUAACUUUGAAAUUGGAUUUAGUUCUCCUUUUCCCUGCUGCUCUCAAAUUACUUGACGAUAAUAGACGGUUGUUUGAGAGAAACACGGAGGGUUGGAUUAGGAAAGGAAACAAGGUAGGCAAUAUGGCUUGAAACAGAUGCAAACACAAACAAAUCAAAUAAAUACUCCUGAACUCUUUUGGGCCCCCUCACGGAUUACGGGCUGUGACCAAACCAUCAUAACCGUCUCCCUGGAUUCACUUAAUUUAAACAUCCGUUGCAAAUACCAUUUGACACAACUUGGCAAAUUAUAUUCUACCUAGUUGCGCUCACACGAAUAGCACGAAG
ensembl:lncRNA